UACGUAGGGGGCUAGCGUUGUCCGGAAUCAUUGGGCGUAAAGAGCGUGUAGGCGGUCCGGUAAGUCCGCUGUGAAAGUCGGGGGCUCAACCCUCGAAUGCCGGUGGAUACUGUCGGGCUAGAGUGCGGAAGAGGCGAGUGGAAUUCCUGGUGUAGCGGGUGAAAUGCGCAGAUAUCAGGAGGAACACCUAUUGCGAAGGCAGCUCGCUGGGACGUAACUGACGCUGAGACGCGAAAGCGUGGGGAGCAAACAGG
rnacentral:rRNA from 1 species